UAACAAUGAUUGACAGGGAGCUAAGAUGGAGGCGGCUCUCUCUAUACUGACUGCCAGGUGUAAAGGGCGGAGCUUAUAACAAUGAUUGACAGGGAGCUAAGAUGGAGGCUGCUCUCUCUAUACUGACUGCCAGGUGUAAAGGGCGGAGCUUAUAACAAUGAUUGACAGGGAGCUAAGAUGGAGGUGUCUCUCUCUAUACUGACUGCCAGGUGUAAAGGGCGGAGCUUAUAACAAUGACUGACAGGGAGCUAAGAUGGAG